rnacentral:rRNA from 1 species
UACGGAGGGGGCUAGCGUUGUUCGGAAUUACUGGGCGUAAAGCGCACGUAGGCGGCUUUGUAAGUUAGAGGUGAAAGCCCGGGGCUCAACCCCGGAAUAGCCUUUAAGACUGCAUCGCUUGAACGUCGGAGAGGUGAGUGGAAUUCCGAGUGUAGAGGUGAAAUUCGUAGAUAUCGGGAGGAACACCAGUGGCGAAGGCGACUUCUUGGCCUGUUCUUGACGCUGAGGCGCGAAAGCUGGGGGAGCAAACGGG